CUUUGCUACCACUCAUGGAUAGCCUCGCGGCGUAUUAGCUAGUUGGUAAGGUAAUGGCUUACCAAGGCAGUGAUACGUAGCCGACUUGAGAGGGUGAUCGGCCACACUGGGACUGGGACACGGCCCAGACUCCUACGGGAGGCAGCAGUAGGGAAUCUUCCACAAUGGGUGCAAACCUGAUGGAGCAAUGCCGCGUGAGUGAAGAAGGUCUUCGGAUCGUAAGGCUCUGUUGUUAGAGAAGAACACGUGCUAGGUAACUACUAGCGCCUUGACGGUAUCUAACCAGAAAGUCACGGCUAACUACGUGCCAGCAGCCGCGGUAAUACGUAGGUGACAAGCGUUGUCCGGAUUUAUUGGGCGUAAAGGGAGCGCAGGCGGUCUGUUUAGUCUAAUGUGAAAGCCCACGGCUUAACCGUGGAACGGCAUUGGAAACUGACAGACUUGAAUGUAGAAGAGGAAAAUGGAAUUCCAAGUGUAGCGGUGGAAUGCGUAGAUAUUUGGAGGAACACCAGUGGCGAAGGCGAUUUUCUGGUCUAACAUUGACGCUGAGGCUCGAAAGCGUGGGGAG
rnacentral:rRNA from 1 species